rnacentral:rRNA from 1 species
AGAGUUUGAUCCUGGCUCAGAGUGAACGCUGGCGGCAGGCCUAACACAUGCAAGUCGAGCGGCAGCACAGCAGUAGCAAUACUGUGGGUGGCGAGCGGCGGACGGGUGAGGAAUACAUCGGAAUCUGCCUUGUUGUGGGGGAUAACGUAGGGAAACUUACGCUAAUACCGCAUAAGACCGUAAGGUGAAAGCGGGGGAUCGUAAGACCUCGCGCGACAAGAUGAGCCGAUGUCGGAUUAGCUAGUUGGUGAGGUAAUGGCUCACCAAGGCAACGAUCCGUAGCUGGUCUGAGAGGAUGAUCAGCCACACUGGAACUGAGACACGGUCCAGACUCCUACGGGAGGCAGCAGUGGGGAAUAUUGGACAAUGGGCGCAAGCCUGAUCCAGCCAUGCCGCGUGGGUGAAGAAGGCCUUCGGGUUGUAAAGCCCUUUUGUCCGGGAAGAAAUCGUACGGGUGAAUACCCCGUGCGGAUGACGGUACCGGAAGAAUAAGCACCGGCUAACUUCGUGCCAGCAGCCGCGGUAAUACGAAGGGUGCAAGCGUUACUCGGAAUUACUGGGCGUAAAGCGUGCGUAGGCGGUUGUUAAGUCUGUCGUGAAAGCCCUGGGCUCAAC